AAUGCCUGCUCGUAGCCCACCAGAGUCUUUCUCAAUUUGAACGCAUUACUACUCGUGUACAAGGAUCAUGUUGUGGUUAUAUAAGAACAGUGCGUACGUCAUUACUUUGGGCCCCGCCGUUCGCAAUCUCAUCAUUCAUAGAAUUUCCAGACGAACUCCAGUGUGCAAAAAUCUACGUUCGUGAUCCAAUGCAUUACUGGCACCCAAUGAUGCUAUCUACAAUGUACAGAUCGCCGUCGAUCACCCCCCAGAGAAACAAUGGCUUGGAAAAUCUAUUAUUUAAAUUAGCCCAAUUGAUGCAUGAAUCGCUGUCUGAAAGGGAACUGUGCAUAGGUUCCAGUACUGUGUAUAGCUGAAGACGGAGCUCUCUGGGAGUGUCUUAAUGACGAAGCGACACGCCUGCAAA